rnacentral:rRNA from 1 species
UACAGAGGGUGCAAGCGUUGUUCGGAAUUACUGGGCGUAAAGCGCACGUAGGUGGCGACGUAAGUCGGGUGUGAAAGCCCCGGGCUCAACCUGGGAAUUGCAUUCGAGACUGCAUUGCUGGAGUACGGAAGAGGAGGGCGGAAUUCCCGGUGUAGCGGUGAAAUGCGUAGAUAUCGGGAGGAACAUCAGUGGCGAAGGCGGCCCUCUGGUCCAGUACUGACACUCAAGUGCGAAAGCGUGGGGAGCAAACAGG